rnacentral:rRNA from 1 species
AAACGCUUGAAGUCAGUCGCGUCGUCCAGAACUCAACCUGGCUUUUGCUUGGUGCACUUUCUGGUUGACGGGCCAACAUCAGUUUUGACUGUCGAAAAAAGUCCUUAGGAAUGUGGCACCCUCGGGUGUGUUAUAGCCUUUGGUCGUACGCGAUGGUUGGGACUGAGGACCGCAGCACGCCUUUUGGCCGGGGUUCGCCCACGUACGUGCUUAGGAUGUUGGCGUAAUGGCUUUAAGCGA